rnacentral:rRNA from 1 species
UACGGAGGGUGCAAGCGUUAAUCGGAAUUACUGGGCGUAAAGCGCACGCAGGUGGCUGAGUCAGUCGAUUGUGAAAGCCCUGGGCUUAACCUGGGAAUUGCAGUCGAUACUACUUAGCUCGAGUAUGGAAGAGGGUCGCGGAAUUCCCGGUGUAGAGGUGAAAUUCGUAGAUAUCGGGAGGAACACCAGUGGCGAAGGCGGCGACCUGGGCCAAUACUGACGCUGAGGUGCGAAAGCGUGGGGAGCAAACAGG